UACAGAGGGUGCAAGCGUUGUUCGGAAUUAUUGGGCGUAAAGCGCGUGUAGGCGGCUUGUUAAGUCGGGUGUGAAAGCCCUCAGCUCCAACUGAGGAAGGGCGCCCGAAAACUGGGCGAGCCUUUGAGUGUCGGAGAGGAUGGCGGAAUACCCCAAGUAGAGGUGAAAUUCGUAGAUAUCGGGAGGAACACCAGUGGCGAAGGGCGGCGCCUGGGCCAAUAUGACGCUGAGGUGCGAAAAGCGUGGGGA
rnacentral:rRNA from 1 species